GACAACUAGGAUGUUGGCUCAGAAGCAGCCAUCAUUUAAAGAGUGCGUAAUAGCUCACUAGUCGAGUGACUCUGCGCCGAAAAUGUACCGGGGCUAAGCAUAUUACCGAAGCUAUGGAUGCAUCCAUCAGGAUGCGUGGUAGGAGAGCGUUCCAAGGGCGAUGAAGUCAGACCGUAAGGACUGGUGGAGCGCUUGGAAGUGAGAAUGCCGGUAUGAGUAGCGAAAGACAGGUGAGAAUCCUGUCCACCGAAUGAC
rnacentral:rRNA from 1 species